rnacentral:rRNA from 1 species
CAGUGGGAGCCUACUUGUUAGGUGACUGCGUACCUUUUGUAUAAUGGGUCAGCGACUUAUAUUCAGUGGCAAGCUUAACCGUAUAGGGUAGGCGUAGCGAAAGCGAGUCUUAAUAGGGCGUUUAGUCGCUGGGUAUAGACCCGAAACCGGGCGAUCUAUCCAUGAGCAGGUUGAAGGUUAGGUAACACUGACUGGAGGACCGAACCCACUCCCGUUGAAAAGGUAGGGGAUGACUUGUGGAUCGGAGUGAAAGGCUAAUCAAGCUCGGAGAUAGCUGGUUCUCCUCGAAAGCUAUUUAGGUAGCGCCUCAUGUAUCACUCUGGGGGGUAGAGCACUGUUUCGGCUAGGGGGUCAUCCCGACUUACCAAACCGAUGCAAACUCCGAAUACCCAGAAGUGCCGAGCAUGGGAGACACACGGCGGGUGCUAACGUCCGUCGUGAAAAGGGAAACAACCCAGACCGCCAGCUAAGGUCCCAAAGUUGUGGUUAAGUGGUAAACGAUGUGGGAAGGCUUAGACAGCUAGGAGGUUGGCUUAGAAGCAGCCAUCCUUUAAAGAAAGCGUAAUAGCUCACUAGUCGAGUCGGCCUGCGCGGAAGAUGUAACGGGGCUCAAACCACACACCGAAGCUGCGGGUGUCACGUAAGUGACGCGGUAGAGGAGCGUUCUGUAAGCCUGUGAAGGUGAGUUGAGAAGCUUGCUGGAGGUAUCAGAAGUGCGAAUGCUGACAUGAGUAACGACAAUGGGUGUGAAAAACACCCACGCCGAAAGACCAAGGGUUCCUGCGCAACGUUAAUCGACGCAGGGUUAGUCGGUUCCUAAGGCGAGGCUGAAAAGCGUAGUCGAUGGGAAACAGGUUAAUAUUCCUGUACUUCUGGUUACUGCGAUGGAGGGACGGAGAAGGCUAGGCCAGCUUGGCGUUGGUUGUCCAAGUUUAAGGUGGUAGGCUGAAAUCUUAGGUAAAUCCGGGGUUUCAAGGCCGAGAGCUGAUGACGAGUCGUCUUUUAGAUGACGAAGUGGUUGAUGCCAUGCUUCCAAGAAAAGCUUCUAAGCUUCAGGUAACCAGGAACCGUACCCCAAACCGACACAGGUGGUCGGGUAGAGAAUACCAAGGCGCUUGAGAGAACUCGGGUGAAGGAACUAGGCAAAAUGGCACCGUAACUUCGGGAGAAGGUGCGCCGGCUAGGGUGAAGGAUUUACUCCGUAAGCUCUGGCUGGUCGAAGAUACCAGGCCGCUGCGACUGUUUAUUAAAAACACAGCACUCUGCAAACACGAAAGUGGACGUAUAGGGUGUGACGCCUGCCCGGUGCCGGAAGGUUAAUUGAUGGGGUUAGCGCAAGCGAAGCUCUUGAUCGAAGCCCCGGUAAACGGCGGCCGUAACUAUAACGGUCCUAAGGUAGCGAAAUUCCUUGUCGGGUAAGUUCCGACCUGCACGAAUGGCGUAACGAUGGCGGCGCUGUCUCCACCCGAGACUCAGUGAAAUUGAAAUCGCUGUGAAGAUGCAGUGUAUCCGCGGCUAGACGGAAAGACCCCGUGAACCUUUACUGUAGCUUUGCACUGGACUUUGAGCCUGCUUGUGUAGGAUAGGUGGGAGGCUUUGAAGCGUGGACGCCAGUUCGCGUGGAGCCAUCCUUGAAAUACCACCCUGGCAUGCUUGAGGUUCUAACUCUGGUCCGUAAUCCGGAUCGAGGACAGUGUAUGGUGGGCAGUUUGACUGGGGCGGUCUCCUCCUAAAGAGUAACGGAGGAGUACGAAGGUGCGCUCAGACCGGUCGGAAAUCGGUCGCAGAGUAUAAAGGCAAAAGCGCGCUUGACUGCGAGACAGACACGUCGAGCAGGUACGAAAGUAGGUCUUAGUGAUCCGGUGGUUCUGUAUGGAAGGGCCAUCGCUCAACGGAUAAAAGGUACUCCGGGGAUAACAGGCUGAUACCGCCCAAGAGUUCAUAUCGACGGCGGUGUUUGGCACCUCGAUGUCGGCUCAUCACAUCCUGGGGCUGAAGCCGGUCCCAAGGGUAUGGCUGUUCGCCAUUUAAAGUGGUACGCGAGCUGGGUUUAGAACGUCGUGAGACAGUUCGGUCCCUAUCUGCCGUGGACGUUUGAGAUUUGAGAGGGGCUGCUCCUAGUACGAGAGGACCGGAGUGGACGAACCUCUGGUGUUCCGGUUGUCACGCCAGUGGCAUUGCCGGGUAGCUAUGUUCGGAAAAGAUAACCGCUGAAAGCAUCUAAGCGGGAAACUUGCCUCAAGAUGAGAUCUCACUGGGAACUUGAUUCCCCUGAAGGGCCGUCGAAGACUACGACGUUGAUAGGCUGGGUGUGUAAGCGUUGUGAGGCGUUGAGCUAACCAGUACUAAUUGCCCGUGAGGCUUGACCAU